CACAGACACUGGGGAAGCCACUGACUCCCUCUCUGGGGUGGCCAUUCCCACUCCACGGGACCAGAGGAAUCCCAACCACCCCCGGGACUCAGCCCACACAAAUUCAGCCACGCUCAGGGCAGCCCAGGGCUUCCCUGGGAACUGCAGUGCUGCUGCUCACACUUGGCCUUGGAACCAACUGGAGAUGGUGCCUGGCCCAGCAGCGUGCAGCUGAGACUCGUGACGCCGCCAGGCUCUGGGUUCCCACCGGCAACCGGCACUUUUUUCAUCUCCGCUUCUCCCGAUAAUGUCCGGCGAGUCCUCGACACCCGAGAACCACCCUUUGUGCAAAAGGCUGCUGUUGCCACUCCCCCCAGCAGCCCCUCGAGGGACUGGACACGCUCUCUCCUGCAGCCUGUGCACUCAGAAAACCUGAAGCUGCUGAUCAUGGCACUGAGACCACCCCAGGGCUCUUUUCCAGUCCUUCGGGGAACUGAGGGGCUGAACUGGCCAUUGAGUAACAGCCUCAGAAGUGUCCAGUGCAAGCCGAGGGAGGUGUGACAGUGUCAGAGAAGCGGGUUGCUCUGGAUACGGGACAGGUUUCCGGCAGCCCGGUCACACCGGACCCCUAUCUCCUGAUCUGCGCCACGGACUCCCUCCAGGCCAGAGAAAAGAUACACGAUGCUGCUCUGGAACCACACCUGCAAUCAGAGCCCUGAGGUGCAAUGAUUGGUUUUUUUACAAGUCAUCUUACUAUCCUUGAAGGCAGCAGUGCCUCUCAUGCUUUCGUGUGCAUGAACAUCCCCUCAAGCUCCUGUUAAAAUGCAGGUUCUGCCCUGACCGGUGUGGCUCCAUGGGUGGGAGCGUUGUCCCGUGAACUGAAGGGCACAUGCUUGGGUUGCGGGUUCCAUCGCUGGUCAGGGCACAUGCAAGAGACAGCCUAUUGAUGUUUCUCUCCCCCUCUUCUUCCCCUCCCCUCUCUCU